GUCAUGAAUUAAGGGUGAAGAGAUCCAGUCCUGGAUGGGGAUCCAUACUCAGUGCAGAGUUUGCUUAAGGCUCUCUCUUUUUAAAAUAUGUCAUCCGUACAACCUUCAUCAGGCCACAGAUACAUUCCUGAUUAGAAACCUCAUUGCCCCACCUUCAGCAGAACAAAAAGCUUUAGCAUUGGCUUGGGGCCCACACAGAAUUAGGGCGUGGUGGUUGUCUUUCUCUGGGCACUGAAUU
rnacentral:lncRNA from 1 species